rnacentral:rRNA from 1 species
ACGAGCGCUGGCGGCAUGCCUAACACAUGCCAGUCGAACGAGACCUUCGGGUCUAGUGGCGCACGGGUGCGUAACGCGUGGGAACCUGCCCUUAGGUUCGGAAUAACUCCCCGAAAGGGGUGCUAAUACCGAAUAAUGUCUUCGGACCAAAGAUUUAUCGCCUUUGGAUGGGCCCGCGUUGGAUUAGCUAGUUGGUAGGGUAAAAGCCUACCAAGGCGACGAUCCAUAGCUGGUCUGAGAGGAUGAUCAGCCACACUGGGACUGAGACACGGCCCAGACUCCUACGGGAGGCAGCAGUGGGGAAUAUUGGACAAUGGGCGAAAGCCUGAUCCAGCAAUGCCGCGUGAGUGAUGAAGGCCUUAGGGUUGUAAAGCUCUUUUACCCGGGAUGAUAAUGACAGUACCGGGAGAAUAAGCUCCGGCUAACUCCGUG